rnacentral:lncRNA from 1 species
UCCGGCCUCACUAUUAAGCUACAAAAAACCACAUACCAUAAUCAUAUUGCCAUCAUCAUUAAAAACAGUUGGGCAUUGACCUCAUUUCCUCUCUAAUGGUUUUCCAAUUGUUUUCUGACCAUCUCACUGAUUGUUUGAAUAGAUUAUCAGUCUGUUUUAGGCUCAGAGAGAAGAAAAGGCCAUUGGAGCAUCAAGUGCUUAACCGAGAGCUCCAUAGUGAUUGGUCACGUGAUGAUCAAGUGAUGAGCGAAGAUUUCAUAUCUCAUAUGGGGGUUAUGCAACAGCCAAGCAACUGCCAUUGAGUGGUGUUCAAGCAUGGACGAGAUAAUCAAGGAGGUGCUCUGACGUUGGCUAGCCACGGG